rnacentral:ncRNA from 1 species
CAAAGGCUUGGUCCUGACUUUAAUAUCUGCUAUAGUCAUAUUUAUACAUGCAAGUAUCCGCCCCCCUGUGAGAAUGCCCUUACUUCCCUUUAAGGAAUAAGGAGCCGGUAUCAGGCACACUCCUACCAGUAGCCCACUACACCUUGCUAUGCCACCCCCUCAAGGGAAUUCAGCAGUGAUUAAUAUUAAGCAAUGAGUGUAAACUCGACUUAGUAAUGACUAAUAAGGCCGGUAAAAUUCGUGCCAGCAACCGCGGUUAUACGAAAGGCCUAAGUUGAUAAAACACGGCGUAAAGAGUGGUUAAGGAGACUAUAUACUAAAGUUAAAACUCCUCCUGGUCGUUUUAAACCUAUGAAUCUGAGAGAAUCUACCACGAAAGUGACUUUAAUUUCCUGACCCCACGAAAGCUAGGAAACAAACUGGGAUUAGAUACCCCACUAUGCCUAGUUGUAAACUAUUACACCCUUUCACAUGAGUGUUCGCCCGGGUACUACAAACACUAGUUUCAAACCCAAAGGACCUGGCGGUGCUUAAUAUCCCCCUAGAGGAGCCUGUUCUAUAACCGAUAACCCCCGUUCAACCUCACCCCCUCUUGCAACCCCUGCCUAUAUACCGCCGUCGUCAGCUCACCCUCUUAAGGUUUAAAAGUAAGCAGAAUUGGUAUACCCUUAAACGUCAGGUCGAGGUGUAGUACAUGAGGGGGGAAGAAAUGGGCUACAUUGACUACACUAGUCUACCACGGAAGAAUCACACUGAAAUCUGUGCCUUAAGGUGGAUUUAGAAGUAAGUAAAAAGCAGAGCGUUUUACUGAAUGCGGCUCUUAAGCACGCACAUACCGCCCGUCACCCUCCCUAAAAGUACAAUCUAUUAUUACUAAUUAGCUAUCUCUCACUUUUUCAAGAGAGGGAAGUCGUAACAUGGUAAGUUUACCGGAAGGUGUACUUGGCACC